AUACAUGCAAGUCGAACGCACUUUCGUUGAAUGAAUUAGAGGUGCUUGCACCGAAGAUGAUUUUAGCUAUAAAGUGAGUGGCGAACGGGUGAGUAACACGUGGGUAACCUGCCCAGAAGUGGGGGAUAACACCUGGAAACAGAUGCUAAUACCGCAUAACAAAGUAAACCGCAUGGUUUACUUUUAAAAGAUGGCUUCGGCUAUCACUUCUGGAUGGACCCGCGGCGUAUUAGCUAGUUGGUGAGAUAAAGGCUCACCAAGGCAGUGAUACGUAGCCGACCUGAGAGGGUAAUCGGCCACAUUGGGACUGAGACACGGCCCAGACUCCUACGGGAGGCAGCAGUAGGGAAUCUUCCACAAUGGACGAAAGUCUGAUGGAGCAACGCCGCGUGAGUGAUGAAGGCUUUAGGGUCGUAAAACUCUGUUGUUGGAGAAGAACGUGUGUGAGAGUAACUGCUCAUGCAGUGACGGUAUCCAACCAGAAAGCCACGGCUAACUACGUGCCAGCAGCCGCGGUAAUACGUAGGUGGCAAGCGUUAUCCGGAUUUAUUGGGCGUAAAGCGAGCGCAGGCGGUCUUUUAAGUCUAAUGUGAAAGCCUUCGGCUUAACCGAAGAAGUGCAUUGGAAACUGGAAGACUUGAGUGCAGAAGAGGACAGUGGAACUCCAUGUGUAGCGGUGAAAUGCGUAGAUAUAUGGAAGAACACCAGUGGCGAAGGCGGCUGUCUGGUCUGUAACUGACGCUGAGGCUCGAAAGC
rnacentral:rRNA from 1 species